ACACGCGAGCUGGGCUUUGUCGCAGCAGCACUCCCUGGCCGGCUCUGUCACACUGGCCGGGGGGAGGGCAGCAGAGCCAGCAGAGCUGUCCUGGGUGUCACUUUGUCAUUGGCGGAGGAGGAGAAGGAGGGCAGCAGGCUGGCAAGGCGGCUGGGGGCCAGUUUCCAGCUCAUCCAUCAGUGGGGCCAGGCUGCCACGUUUAUCCCGAGUGGAACGACAGAGGAGGAAGUCCCCGCUCUGGCCUCCAGGCACAGCGUUCCUUCAGGAGGCCACACUACUGGGACCACUCUGCACGCCUUCCCUCCGAGUGCUCAGCGGCCCACAUCAGAGAUGGCUCUGGCUUUCCCGUUUCUAGCAGCACCUGCCACCCUUGCAGGAGAGUGAGUGCCGUCCUCCACACCCAGGGACAGACACACUAG
rnacentral:lncRNA from 1 species